rnacentral:misc_RNA from 1 species
GAUGAAGAACGUAGCGAAAUGCGAUAAGUAAUGUGAAUUGCAGAAUUCAGUGAAUCAUCGAAUCUUUGAACGCACAUUGCGCCCCCCGGCAUUCCGGGGGGCAUGCCUGUCCGAGCGUCAUUUCUGCCCUCAAGCACGGCUUGUGUGUUGGGUGCGGUCCCCCCGGGGACCUGCCCGAAAGGCAGCGGCGACGUCCGUCUGGUCCUCGAGCGUAUGGGGCUCUGUCACUCGCUCGGGAAGGACCUGCGGGGGUUGGUCACCACUAUAUUUUACCACGGUUGACCUCGGAUCAGGUAGGAGUUACCCGCUGAACUUAAGCAUAUCAAUAAGCGGAGGA